rnacentral:rRNA from 1 species
AUGAUGUGGAUUAAUCGAUGCAACGCGAAAAACCUUUACCUACCCUUGACAUGUCCGGAAUCCCGAAGAGAUUUGGGAGUGCUCGCAAGAGAGCCGGAACACAGGUGCUGCAUGGCUGUCGUCAGCUCGUGUCGUGAGAUGUUGGGUUAAGUCCCGCAACGAGCGCAACCCUUGUCAUUAGUUGCCAUCAUUUGGUUGGGCACUCUAAUGAGACUGCCGGUGACAAACCGGAGGAAGGUGGGGAUGACGUCAAGUCCUCAUGGCCCUUAUGGGUAGGGCUUCACACGUAAUACAAUGGUCGGUACAGAGGGUUACCAAGCCGCGAGGUGGAGCCAAUCCCAGAAAGCCGAUCGUAGUCCGGAUCGCAGUCUGCAACUCGACUGCGUGAAGUCGGAAUCGCUAGUAAUCGUGGAUCAGCAUGUCACGGUGAAUACGUUCCCGGGUCUU